UACGUAGGGUGCGAGCGUUAAUCGGAAUUACUGGGCGUAAAGUGUGCGCAGGUGGCCGCGCAAGUCGAGUGUGAAAUCCCCGAGCUUAACUUGGGAAUUGCGCUCGAAACUACGUGGCUCGAGUGUGGCAGAGGAAGGUGGAAUUCCACGUGUAGCGGUGAAAUGCGUAGAGAUGUGGAGGAACACCUAUGGCGAAGGCAGCUCGCUGGGACGUUACUGACGCUGAGACGCGAAAGCGUGGGGAGCAAACAGG
rnacentral:rRNA from 1 species